rnacentral:rRNA from 1 species
CCUACGGGGGGCAGCAGUGAGGAAUAUUGGUCAAUGGGCUUACGCCUGAACCAGCCAAGUCGCGUGAGGGAAGACUGCCCUAUGGGUUGUAAACCUCUUUUGUCAGGGAGCAACGCCGGCUACGUGUAGCCGGACUGAGAGUACCUGACGAAAAAGCAUCGGCUAACUCCGUGCCAGCAGACGCGGUAAUACGGAGGAUGCGAGCGUUAUCCGGAUCUAUUGGGUUUAGAGGGUGCGUUGGCGGAAUGCCAAGUCAGCGGUAAAAUCGAGGGGCCCAACCUCGCUCCGCCGUUGAAACUGGCGUUCGUGUGUGGGCGAGAAGUAUGCGGAAUGCGUGGUGUAGCGGUGAAAUGCAUAG